CCCCGCCCCGCCGGACUCCAUUUCCCAGAAGGCUCCGGGCUCCGCUCGGCCAAAGCUGGUUGUCGAUCGGAUCCAGCGUGAACAGGACAGCCAUGGAUUGGUGGCCUGGAACUCUCAAAGCAUAAAAAUCUAUCAGGAGGGAACUUCUUCAGUAAUUUUAGGAGCGGAAGCAUACUUUAUUAGUGUUGCAUCAGCACUACUGUGGGAAGAGAUUACAGAAUGGUCUGUCCCUUGGAGACCUCUGUGCUGUGGCCAGGGAUGUUUUGUGAAAGGUGAAAUAAAAUGGAGUCACUAAUGCCAAGGGGUUUUAAAUGGAGCUUGGAGGCCAUUAAGGUAGAUAGACCUUGUGCAUGUCCUCACCCAUUGGUACCAAAAACUUUUGAACUGGGCCAAACUGCAAAUAAGCCAAAAACUUGGCCCAAACACCAGCUACUUGCUACAGAAGAGACUUUGCUUAGUGAUGGCCAUAGCAACCAAUUAUAUUCAGCAGCCGGUGCUCACCCCAUAGUGGACACUGGGAGGCAGCAGAUUGCUUCACCCUUCAGCUGGUGCAAUUCCACCUAUGGCCACUGGCCACUUGCCUCAGUUUCACAAGCCAGGAUUCUCCAAGAAGAUAUGAGAGCGGGAAUGAGAGCUGGGCUUCCACUUGGAAGCCUGAGCAGUGCAGAUCUCUGCCUGGUAAAGAGCAGCUUCUGCUGCACCUGUCCUCUGGGGAUGUUCCAUCUGCCCCUCUUCUCCAUGGUCCUGUGCCUGACAGUGCUGGGCUGGACUCCUGGGGCAGAUGUAGGCUGUCAGCUGGGGCUGGCUCUUGGUCCCUGAAGCACACUGUGCUCUGAUGGGAAGGCCCCAAGGGAGUUUAAAGAGCAUGUGUGUCCACUGUCAGUCCAUGACUGGGUGCUAGUAGCAAUCAGAGGCGGUAUAGGUAGGAGUUGCUGAGGAAGCAGGGUAGGAAAUAGAAUAUAAAGAGAAACUGCGAAGAUUCCAGAUGUCCUUUCAUGAGGCACCCCUUGAGCCUCACACCAGUCUUGCCUGUAGCUCCCAGCCCUCUCCGUGGCCUCCACCUCUCCGGCACAGGCUCAGAUGUGCCACCAGCAGCAGCAGCUGACACCGGUGGAGCGCUCAUCCUGUGCCAUCCUCCGUUCUAAGUGCUUCCUGUAAUGAUCCUUUUGUCCUCCCCCAUGAGGGGGUAGCAUCAUUAUGCCCUAUUUUACAGGUCAGUAAACUGAGGCUUACAGAGGUUAGGUGACUUGUCCAGGUCACACAGGCUGUGAGUGAGUAGUACAACCAGAAUUUGAACUCAGCCCACUGGCUCUUACCCACCAUGCUGCACUGGCUCCUGGUUCCCGGAUUACAGAGGAACGAGACCAAAGUAGGGUUGAAGCCACGAUGAUGUUUUCCUUGCCCACAAACUUAACCAUCUUUCUCAUCUCAUUCUCUAUUCUCUCAUCUCUCUUCUAUUUCAUCUCUGUGUGUCUCCCUUCUCUAUUUUCUCUCUCAUCUCUCUCUAAAUCUAUAUCUACAUAAUAGCAGGAUUAUCAAUAAGCAGAAAACAGGAAAGAAUCUGAAUGUGGAACAAUGUGAGGUUGAUUUAAGUUCUGAUGUAUUUACACAAUGAUAGCCUUAAUUUGUUGAAUU